rnacentral:rRNA from 1 species
AACGAACGCUGGCGGCAGGCUUAAUACAUGCAAGUCGAGCGGGCACUUCGGUGUCAGCGGCGCACGGGUGCGUAACGCGUGGGAACAUGCCUUUAGGUACGGAACAACACAGGGAAACUUGUGCUAAUACCGUAUAAUAUCUCUGGAUCAAAGAUUUAUCGCCUAAAGAUUGGACCGCGUUAGAUUAGGUAGUUGGUGGGGUAAUGGCCUACCAAGCCGACGAUCUAUAGGGGGGCUGAGAGGAUGAUCCCCCACACUGGAACUGAGACACGGUCCAGACUCCUACGGGAGGCAGCAGUAAGGAAUAUUGGACAAUGGGCGAAAGCCUGAUCCAGCCAUGCCGCGUGAGUGAUGAAGGCCUUAGGGUUGUAAAGCUCUUUUAGAUGGGAAGAUAAUGACUGUACCAUCAGAAUAAGCCCCGGCUAAAUUCGUGCCAGCCGCCGCGGUAACAC